CAGAGGGUAGUUUAUGAAAAUAUUAGUUUUGGGGACUAAAGAUGGGGCAAUAGCUCUACCUCUGA
rnacentral:tRNA from 1 species